rnacentral:rRNA from 1 species
UACGUAGGUGGCAAGCGUUGUCCGGAAUUAUUGGGCGUAAAGCGCGCGCAGGCGGUCCUUUAAGUCUGAUGUGAAAGCCCACGGCUCAACCGUGGAAGGUCAUUGGAAACUGGAGGACUUGAGUACAGAAGAGGAAAGCGGAAUUCCACGUGUAGCGGUGAAAUGCGUAGAGAUGUGGAGGAACACCAGUGGCGAAGGCGGCUUUCUGGUCCAGCACCGACGUUCAGGCACGAAGGCGUGGGGAGCAAACAGG